rnacentral:piRNA from 1 species
AUUCUAGGACCUGGAAAUAGGCAGG